rnacentral:tRNA from 1 species
GCACCCGUAGCGAAAUUGGAUAUCGCACUGCCCUCCGACGGCUGGGACUGCUGGUUCGAAUCCAGUCGGGUGUACCA